GGGUGGCGCUGUUGAUCUCUGUCUGCUUCAACCUGCCCUCCAUCACCUUCAGCUGGGAAUCCUUCUGAGACGCCUGCAGACCCUGACAAUGACCACACAGCAGGUUGCCGGGAGGCGUGUCUGUUGCCUGGGGAGCUGAUUACACACACCUGCACAUGAUUUGCACUCCCUCGGGUUCCUGUCCUCUUUAAGUGGCGGCCUGACAUCCUGUCCUCGCCGGAUCGUUAUGUCGUUUUUUCGUACGUCUUGGCUACCAGCUCGCUUAAAUUAGAUUUGUACCUGUAACUCUGCCCAUUUGCCAAACUUGUUACUAACCUGUGUCUCCUGUGUUCAGGAACUCAACCGGACCCGUCGGAAACCAACUCUCCUCCCCUACCUCCUGGACCUCACUCUCCUGCCUGUUUCUCCGCCCUGAUCCCAAUCAGCUUCCCUCGCCUGUUUGCUCUGCCUGCCCCGGCCUCUGCAGCCGCAACCAGCUCUUUGUUUAAUAAAUCUCUGAGAACAAG